UCUAAUUUUGUUAAAUACACUAUUCUCUGAUAUGAACAACAAUGUCCUUUAUUUAUAAACACAAGCUUCUUCCAGAAGGCCUUGCUGACCUCUCCAUUCUAAGGCAUGGCCUCAUGGAGUCAACAUGGAGAAAUGCAGGGCUCCGCCCUGAAGGAACUGUCAGUUUAGUAUGAAGGUCACAGUUCAUCACUGAGGGAAGUCAGGACGGGAACUGGAGCAGAACCCAUGGAGGACUGCUGUUGCUCACCGGCUCGCCUCCUGUGACCUGUGCUCGGCCUGCUUUCUCGUACUUAGCCUAUCUGUCUCCCAUCCGCCCGGAGGUGCCACUUCCGUAGUGGGCUGGGCCCCCACGUCGAUCAGCAACCACACAGGGCCAACCUCUGUUGAGACGCCCUCUUCUGGGUAACUCUUAAUUGUGUCAAGCUGACAGUAAAAACCAUCCGGGGCCGGA